AAAGAUUACGAGUCGUGUCCGUUUGACUCACCGUUUGAUACCAUAGGUUGGUACGAUCUUCGUUCGAGAAGGAAAAGGGAUGUUCCAGAUACAGAAAAUCGUCAAACCAUUUACCACAAAGUCCGUUUCUGGGUGGAGUUAGUGGAACCGAAAAAGAUGUCUCCCUCACAGCGUUCGUGACAAAAGAAUUGCAUCGUUCCUUGGCGGCCUUUCAACAGAAGAAUAUUCAGAGAUUUCCCGAGUGUUGGUCGAGUGGAUCACAGAAAGUCUGGCAACAAAAAAGCUGCAAUGGUUACCUCCUCACUGCUUCCAACUCCUCCUUUUUCUCAGCUGGUGCCCUAUCACUGGCAGCGACAGCGUACCCUCAUGAUGCCAAGGUUGGAGACUAUCAAGAAUCAUGAUGACACCGGCCCUUCUCUGUACUGCAGGACUGCCCCAGAGUGCUCCAGGCAGCAGAAACAACAUUGAACUACUCCAGUGGUCUGCACCAUUACAUUUCCUGUGGUACUUUAUUUAGCCCCUCUGAGUGUAUAAUACACACUCCCAUAUGGACCACGUCAUCAAACAAAGGCUCUUGUCACCUCCUCAUUACUUCAAGUUGUUCAAAUGAGGAUGGCAGGGCAGAAUAUUGAAGAAUUAUUACAAAGUCUUCUGUUCAGUAUCCUGCUGCUUUCUGACAAGGAAAACUGAAAUGUACUUGAUUUUCAUGUAAUUUUGAUUCCCAUUACAGGUCCUUAUGGGAACAGGAAAAAUGACAAGCUGGAAAAUUUUGCAAGUAAUCUUUGGGCCAGCCUGGAAUCUUCCCAUCCUCUGGCCAUGACCUUGUGACCCUGCUUGGAGGUUGUAGUUUCAGUUUCAGAAGUGAUCAAUUCCAGUGAGGAUGUCUGUACCAAGGUGAAAGCUCACGCUUCACGACGGGAAAAAUGGCUCCAUUCAGACUCUGGAGAUUCAGGUGUCCCACUGAGAAUCGUUGUCUCCUUCAUCAUUCACCUUAUUCCAGUCACCUGUCCUGCUCUGUGUGAUUUCUGUCCAUUCUCUCAGUCAUGCUUGCCUGAGGGGAUAGCCACUACUGUAGCCCUGUUGUUGACUUGUGCAGUAUCCUCACAGUCAGGGAAUGCUUCCCCAUUCCUGAGAGAUUUCAGCUGGCUUAAACAGCUCUGAAAACCACUGAACACUUUUACAAGAGUCAGCGGAAAUCCACUUGCAUCUAACCUGUAAGUAGUUGGUGAUAUCUCUAUCCUCACUGCACUGGAUUAAGAGAGGAUUGUAACUGGAAUACUGAGGUCAAAACAUAUACCAUUAGCAUCCAAGCAGCAUUACGCAUACUUCCAUCAGAAUGUGAAUCAGAUGACAGGGAUUAUACCUAGCACUUGGAGAACUGACAGAAACCCCAGGUUACCUUGUCAGGAAAGUUCCAGUGAAUGAAGUGCCAACCGAGCACUUACCAUUCGGGGGCAGUCUGUGGCUAAAACCCCACUCACUGAGAGAUGCUGGCCAAACAGAGACUAGUGUCUCGCCAUUGCAGGUGGUGCCACAAGGAAGGGUGGCUGAUGCUGGUACUGCAAUUAAUCCAAUGCUAUUCGUGAGUCAUGAACAAAUUGGAGUCGUGGGAGAGGUUUUCUGGCCAGGGAAUCAGGAGGUUGUAAGAAAAGGUAGUCAGGUGCUAUCUGUUUGCCAUCGCUACUAAUAUGGCAUGGCGGAUCAAUGGUUAGCACUGCUGCCUCACAGCUCCAGGGACCCAGGUUCAAUUCCAACCUCAGGUGACUGUCUGUGUGGAGUUUGCACAUUCUGUAUAUGUCUGCAUGGGUUUCCUCUGGGUGCUCCAGUUUCCUCCCACAGUCCAAAGAUGUGCAGGUUAGAUGGCUUGGCCAUGCUAAGUUGCCCAGAGUGUCCAGGUAUGUGUGGGUUAGGUGGGUUAUAGUGGAAUGGGUGUGGGUGGAAUGCUACAUCCAGCUCUACACCUUGUUAUCUCUAUUGUAGAGCAUCUAUGUGCCCCACUGUUAUUUUACUAUC